ACUUGUAAAUCAUUGUUUCUAUGGGGGAUGUUAUAAAAGUUGCUCCACUUGAAUGAGUCUCACAUGGUCCAGAAAAGAGAAGUCUGCCUGGGAAAGAAGUUCUAGAAGAAUGAAGAUGUUUUUGACGCUUUUCCUCUUAUGUUAAUGCGGCCAAUGAGAGAGCAAAUUAAAAGUUAAUUAUACAGCAUUUGUGCGGAGGCCGUGUGCCCUAUGAGAUCCACCUGGCAGUGGCAGCCUUCAGCGUGGCCUUCACAGCACCUUUCUUCCUCCUCACAUGCUGCUCAGAGGAAGUGUGGGUCAACUUAUUAAUUGCAUCAUCCUUGGAGUAGUUUAUGGACUUUUAUAUAUCACACUCAUACUGUGCAGUGAAUGUAGCAAUGCCAAUAAAUCAUUUUAUGUGAUAUUUGACCACAGAAUGUGUAUGUUUUAGUGUUAAUUGAUUUCCAGUUUCCCUAUCAUGUGUGCUAUUUGAUUUGUCCUGAAAUACUCCAUGAAUGUAAAAGAGUAUUGACACAAUGAUCAGUGAACAGCCCCGAAUACUUUCUGCAUUUGCAAUCCUAAGCCAUCGUUUGCUCACAGAACAGCUGAACAAACACAUUACAUGUGCAGUCAGUCUAUUUAAAUGGCCUGUUACUCCUGAAAACAUUUCGCAGGCUCUGCAGCAAGCUUCACAGUUCGACUCGACGACUGUCACAUUCAGGCUUAUUUCACUGUUUUGUCAAGAAAUAUUAAUAUACUCACUCUUGAAAGUGUUUCAGGGUUAAAGUAACGCUGUAUUUUUUCCAAUCCAGUAUAUCAGGGUUUGAUGAUUGGUAAAUUUGAUUGUUUUAGAUUUGUAUGUUUUGAAAUGAGGUAAAAAAAUAAUUGCAAACCUUUUUACCUAAACAAUACGAACCUCCAAAUGUGAUUCCCAACCUUUGUUGUAAUCAUUUACUGUAAUCUGAGAAUAUUUUAGAGUUUGGGCUAUACAAGUUAAAGUCCCACUACGAUCAUCUUUUGAUCUGUUGCAGACACGUCCAAAGUCCAGCUACAUUUGCUUCACGUUAAAAUUUCCUCAAUCCCGCAGGCUCCUUUUAUAAAAUCAGUGAUAAGCAUCUCCAGCCAUUUAUAAAAACGUGCAUCCUUAGAUUGAAUUAGAUUAUAAAAUAUUUAAAAUCCGUAGCAACACUAGGAUAUGAAUCUUUUUGUGACAAUUUAUACCUCACAUCUAAAAUGUCAACUGUUAAAAAAACAAAAUUACUCUAUCUAUGACAACGUAAUGGAACGGUGUCUGGUCUUGAAAUAUAAAAUUCACAGUAAUUUUGGUAAAAAUGUAUUUAACUGUUUUCCUUAUCUAUGUGAAGAAAUUAUAAAUAUGUUGUUGGAAAACAUUUUUAAACUAGUAAAUACUUAAUUAGUAUUUAAAGUUUAAUAUUGGUCCUCCAAAAUAUUCACCUUACCAAAUCUGUCCCACUUUGUGAAAAGUUUGGACAAUCUUGAUCUAUUAUAAAAGCAUUUCCAGUGGUCUUUAUGUAUAAUUAUGCUGUUUUUCGCCACAAACAAAAAAAAA